AGUGAACGCUGGCGGUAGGCCUAACACAUGCAAGUCGAACGGCAGCACAGUAAGAGCUUGCUCUUACGGGUGGCGAGUGGCGGACGGGUGAGGAAUACAUCGGAAUCUACUUUUUCGUGGGGGAUAACGUAGGGAAACUUACGCUAAUACCGCAUACGACCUACGGGUGAAAGCAGGGGAUCUUCGGACCUUGCGCGAUUGAAUGAGCCGAUGUCGGAUUAGCUAGUUGGCGGGGUAAAGGCCCACCAAGGCGACGAUCCGUAGCUGGUCUGAGAGGAUGAUCAGCCACACUAGAACUGAGACACCGUCCAGACUCCUACGGGAGGCAGCAGUGAGGAAUAUUAGACAAUGGGCGCAAGCCUGGUCCAGCCGUACCGCGUGGGUGAAGAAGGCCUUCGGGUUGUAAAGCCCUUUUGUUGGGAAAGAAAAGCAGCAGGUUAAUACCCCGCUGUUCUGACGGUACCCAAAGAAUAAGCGCCGGCUAACUUCGUG
rnacentral:rRNA from 1 species